UCAAUUCUUCAGAAAUGUAAAAGCUGAAUUUUCCUAUUUUUAAAGCAUUUUCCAUUUAAUGACAUUCACAAAAAUGCACAACUGAAGUCAAAUGAUGAAAUGCGGCUAUAAUUAAAUAAAGUACAUAAUUCAGACAAAACAAAAUACAAUACAUAUUUUUCAUUUCAAGCCUGCAUGUACUUUGGUUAUAAAUACUUGGAACAGUGUAUUCUUUGGUAUGGAAAAAAUAAAGAUUAGGCCUCUCUUUCAAGGGCAGUUGUGGGGAACUGUUCUCUUCCUCUUGUUCUCCGUGUGAGACUGGAUGGGCCUGUAUUUUUUUAAUCUAAUUCAAUGGACUGGAUUGGUACCGCUGAGGUCCCAUGGAUUUGAAACUUUUCCACGUAAGAAGGUCUACCCUAACAUCCCUUAAUUAUUACAAUUUUUGUUCUGUGCAAUAUGUGACAUCAUAAUGCCUUCUGUAAAGUAUUGUGUAACAACUAUUAAUCUAGAAUGAUGAAUUUGAGAGGGGAGGGUGAAUUUAGUGCCUUAAUGAUGUUGCAUUGUGUAACACAGACAUUCUGGGUUCAAAGCUUGAAUAUUUUGGACAGAAGACAUUAUUUUGUGGAAGUGCUUUGGUUCCUUCAUUUGAGUUGAAAAACCUGCAGAGCAGGUUUUCAGUGUAUCUAAGAUUCUUUCUUGUGCAUAGUUUGGUGAACUGGUUAGGUACGUGUUAUCACUGUGGAGAUAACUGAAGAUAGAUGUGGAAAGACAGGGUAAUGAGGUUUGUCAAUAUAUCAAUAAUGUUGAAAGCCUCUGUCCUUCCUUAUACCUUAUAUUGCUGCGGAACCCCAGAUCCUUGUUUACAAGAGCUUGCUUCAGUAUCUUUGAAAGGACCUCUUUUGUGAGAAGGUAAAAGCACAGAGAGACUCUAAAUGCUCUUCAGCCAUGGAACCGGACCUGCCUUCAAGCAGUCAACAGCUCCUAGACUUCAUGCCACACCUCCUGGUACAGUUUCUGAAGGCUGCCCUCAUGGCUCUGCAAGCGGAGGACCCCCAGCUCAUUGCAGGGCACCUCCUCUCCUCUCUAAAGGUGGUGAGGGACAUCAACGACAUCCUGCUGUGCAGGGUCGUCAUCCUGGGCAACGCGGACCCCAUCCUCACCAGCUUUGCUGCCAUAGGCUUCCCCAACCACAAGGGGGCCAUUAACAGCACCCAUAUCCCCAUCCAUGCCUCUAAACACUGGGUGUCUGAAUAUAUCAACCAGAAGAGGUACUUUUCUAUGGUCCUGCAGGCCCUCAUGGAUCACCGAAACUGAUUCACCCAUAUUAACGUUGUGUGCUCGGGGAAGGCACAUGAUGCCUGCAUCAUUAGCAAGUCCAGCCUCUUCCAGAAGCUACAUGCUGCACUUUUUUCCCCAACUGCACCAUCAGGGUUGGACAAGUGGACAUGCCUAUGUUCAUUGUGGGGGACGCUGCCUACCCUUUGUUUCCCUGGCUAAUGAAACCCUACACAGGACACCUGGACAAACACAAGAAACAUUUCAACAGACGGCUCAGCAGGGCCUGCAUCAUGGUGGAGGGCGCCUUUGGCCAUUUGAAAGGGAGGUUCUGCUGCCUCCUCACCUGCCUGGACCUUGGCAAGUGGAACAUCCCCCAGGUGGUGGUGGCCUGCUGUGUCCUGCACAAUACAUAUGAAAAUAAGGGGGAGAUGUUCCUGCCAGGGUGGAGGGCAGAGGCCAAGCAGUUGCCAGGUCCUUUGGACAUCCACGCAUGGCUGCUAUCUGGCAGACCCAUCAGGAGGUCCUGAGGAAGAGUUUCACACAAGGACCCCAGUGACACUCUCCCCUGGGCCUCCCUACAAGGGGCCUGUGCAUUACCUCUCUGUGCCU